GGAAGGGUCUCUUCUGGAGAUCUGCUCUGCUGGAGUUUCACAACCUAGCCCAGGAUACGGGAGAUUCGGGAACUGUCUCCCCAUAUCCCUUUCCCAGUGGAUGAACUAGUUGAGAUGAUAAGACAAUUUUCACAGCGCCUGCUUGGUGAAAUAAUGCUUGUGUCUUGAUCUGCCUUGAUCUGCCAGAAGAGGAGCUGCUGAAGGACUGUGGGCUGUCACCCCUGCUGCAGUCAGCGUUACUGGACUGCUGCAGCUUCUGUAAGCCUGACUCUUGUAAUGGAAGUGUGGUCACUGACCAUGAUGGUAGAGGAGCUGUGUCCUGCUGCCUCUUCCUCGACUAUUCCCUUCACUGCAGACAUGGGAACUCUGGCAGUAAUGAGGGAAACCUCCAUCUGUCUCAUCCAUGUGCUUCCACUGUGAUCUUCAGCUUAGAGAAAGUAAGUGUGAUUCUUCCCUGAAAAAUACCGGCCUGGUCUGGUGGGAGGUGUCCCUGCCCACAGCAGGGGCUGGAAGUGGGCAUCCUAAAGGUCCCUUCCCCUCCAAACCGUUCUAUGAUGACACCCAAACUAAUGGUACGCAUACGCCUGUGUCACUGCAGCUAUUUUGCUAAAUGCUUACCAAAUGAGGUUGUUUCUUUGCAACAGUAUGUUUGACUUGUAACAGUGGUCUGUUUUUAAAAAGAACUCAAGGACAGCAGAAAAAGAGCAACCUGGUACCUGUUUGCAUAUGCCAACAAAGAAGGAUUUUGCAGCUGCUGCAUUACACAGAGCAACUGCUUCAUUCAUUGCCUGCUCCUAAUAACAAACAGGUGCAGUCAGCAUUUCAGACAAUCUUCCUUUAAUACAAAGUCAAUAUAUCUACAUACACUGUGGUAUGAAAACCACUUAAUGUUUCAGUUUGAAAUAACAGUGUGAAAGCAACAGCACUUUGCUCUCAUACAAAGAAAAAAAAAAAAACCUUCCCCCACCCCACCCCAACUCUUCCAGUAAGAUUUUGCUGCAACAUACUUAGAAAUUUGGGCAACUUUUACACAAAUAAGAAGUAAAAUCUUGAAGAAGCUUCUUGUUGGUUUUUUUUUUUUUUCUUCAGUUAAAGGCAGGAAAUGGAUUGUUGUGGGGUUUUCUGGGUAGCACUGGAUGGCAAUAAUUACCCCUUCUAGGAAAAAAAAAGCCACAGGCAAGCAGUGUUCUGGGCAGUGCAUCUUUUCCAACAUGCUGUCCUCUGUGCACUUCUGCAAGGAAAUUCCUUGUACCCCUGUUACAUGUAUCGUAUCUUCACACCAGUGCAUGGACAGUUAGGCUCUUACCUCCGUUACACUGCUGAUGUUUGAAAGCUGUGUGCUUGCCCACGUGUGCCGCACCUCUGAAGCUGCUGUAUUUUCGUCUUCAGUCCUAAGACAUGGGCAUUUUUUUUAAUCUCCCAAUUCACCCCUGGCCCUGGUAGGAGGGAGCAGCACGGCCACAGCUGAAGGGGAGGAGGUUGACACUGCCACCAGGUCUGGGCCUGCCUGCUGAUCUCACACACUUCUGAAGACACGUGAUAUGUCUGAGAUUUUAAACAAAACAAACAAAAUAAUCCAGAAAGGACAUUUUGUUCUUACAUGAGCAAGUUAAACCUUUUAAAUGGUAGAAAAGCAAUAUGUAGAAGUAGCAAUUUGCACUGCAUUUUUAUAUAUCACAGCCAUUACACGUAACAUUUCUACAGUGAAAAAAUAGACUGUCUUUGAACAUAAUAUGAACAAAUAAGCAAUUUUUUCUUUUAAAUUCAUUGACUGAUA